GCGCUCUGCGCCGUGCGGCCCGCCCUUUUCCGGGGCUCUCACCCCCCCCUACGCCCCCACGCGCCUGCGCACGCGCUCCUGGACCGGAACUGGCCAAGCCAGAGUGACCAUAAGUAGUUAUUUUUACAGAAAGGAGCACCCCACCACGUGGAAACUGCUGACCACAAACACAUAGACCUAGGCUGGAGCCAGAGAGUUGAAUGAGAUUCCUGAAACUUCACCAUAUCACCACCACAUCACUAACCAAUCAGAAGAAUGUCCAGAAGCUGAUCAGGCACCCUGUGACUCUGACUCCUACUGUCUCUCUGAAAGCCAUUGGGGAAUUUGGAUCUUUUGAGAACUAGCUGCCCAUUCUGUUUGCUUGGUGCCCUGCAAUAUACACUGUACUUACCUUCACCGCAAGCUUGCCAGCUUCAAAAACUAAGAAAAUUAAUUCCCCCAAUAUCUAUCCUGACCAAAGAUCCCCAAGUGGGAGAGAGGGAGGUUCUCUGCUUUCCAGAUUCCACAUUGAAGCAGCUGUGGCAUCACAGUUCUCCAGCAAAACCCUCUUGUGCCUCCCCUCUGUGUUUCUGAGUGUCUGCUGGGAAAACACUUCCUUCCCUCUUUGCUGGGCUAUUUAAAGAAUCAGUUCAGAUACAACUGAAGCCUUCCUUUAUGUAUCAUAAAUCCUCUCUUUAGAGGUUCCGUGUUCCUCAGAGCUCUCAUUACACCCUGUGUGGACCUCUAACAUGGCCCUUACCAUAUGACAUUUAAAUUAUCGGUAGAUUUGUUUCCCUAACCUGACCAUGAGCUUUUCAAGGACAGGGCAGGGUCUAAGGGCAAGGACCAUAUCUUGGUCAUUUUUGAAUUCACAGUGUACGGCAGUGCCGAGGGUCCUCAGUAUAUACCACUUACUGAACUGAACUGAACACUAAUGGAAAGAACAAUGGCGGAUUAGUCAGCUCAGGCUACCAUAACAAAAUCCCACAGACUGGGUGGCUUAAACAACAGAAAUUUAUUUUCUUGAGGCUGGAAAUCCAAAAUCAAGGUGCCAAACAGGUUGGUUUCUACUGAAGCUUCUCUCCCUGGCUUGCAGUUGGUUACCUUCUGAUUGUGUCCUCACAUGGCCUUUUCCUCUGUGCUCCCGUGGAGAGGGAGAGCUGGUAUCUCAAUCUCCCACCCUCAUCUAUUAGCAUGCAGUAAAUAAUCACAAAUACUCAUUUCUAUCUCUAGACUCCCUGGUCUGUUCCAUAAAUUUGUCUGUCCGUUUAAUGUACCACACUGUUACAAUUACUGUAGCUUUAUAUUUGGUUUCAUUAUCUAGCAGAGUUAGUCCCACCUACUGCCUGCUUCUUCAGAAAUCCCACCUUACCUCUUGGCUCUCUUAGAUUGUUCAUUUCUCAUGUAAGCUUUAGAACUAGCUUAUCUAAUGCCAUACCCUUUUCCACCAAAUCUCAUUGGUGAUUUUAUUAAUCAUGUUAAAUUUAUAAACAAAAAUAACAAGAAAAGAGAAAAAACUAAAAAUAAAAAAAGAAGGAAAAAACAAAAAAUAAGAACAAAAAAUGAAAAAAAUGUAUAGAUUAGCUUAAGGGCAUUUACAUUUUAUGAUGUUUAACUCUUCCUAUCCAAGUUCAUAAUAAGCUGUUAUGUUUGUUCAAGUUUAUUUUAUGUCCUUCAGCAAUAUUGUAAAGUUUUCCUCAGUAAGUAUUUUAACUCGUUAUAUUUUAACUAGGUUUUUUUCUUCUUUGUUUCUAAUGUAAAUAGGAUUUCCCCAUCUCCAUAUCUAUUAACUGCUUGUUUGUGUAUAUGAAGAUUUUUUUGUUCCAUGUAUUUAUUUUGUACCCAUACAACUUAUGUAAUUCUCUUGUUUGUAAUAUAAUUAAUUUGGGUUCUCUACAUGUGUAAUCAUAUUGCCUGCAUACAAUAUCUUUACCUCCUUUCCAAUUUUAUAUCUAUAAAUUUCCUUUUGAACACUUGCUUGGGCUAAUACCUUAAGAACAAUAUUAAAUGGUAAUAAUGAUGGUGA